rnacentral:rRNA from 1 species
UGCCAGCAGCCGCGGUAAUACGAAGGGUGCGAGCGUUGUUCGGAUUUAUUGGGCGUAAAGCGUACGCAGGCGGAUUAAUAAGUCAGGUGUGAAAUCUCGGGGCUCAACCCCGAAACUGCGCCUGAAACUGUUAAUCUAGAAUCUCAGAGGGGGAAGGGGAAUUUCUCAUGUAGGGGUAAAAUCCGUAGAGAUGAGAAGGAACACCAGAGGCGAAGGCGCCUUCCUGGAUGAGUAUUGACGCUGAGGUACGAAAGCGUGGGGAGCAAACAGGAUUAGAUA